UACGUAGGGUGCAAGCGUUAAUCGGAAUUACUGGGCGUAAAGCGUGCGCAGGCGGUAAUGUAAGACAGUUGUGAAAUCCCCGGGCUCAACCUGGGAACUGCAUCUGUGACUGCAUUGCUGGAGUACGGCAGAGGGGGAUGGAAUUCCGCGUGUAGCAGUGAAAUGCGUAGAUAUGCGGAGGAACACCGAUGGCGAAGGCAAUCCCCUGGGCCAACACUGACGCUCAGGCACGAAAGCGUGGGGAGCAAACAGG
rnacentral:rRNA from 1 species